AUUGAACGCUGGCGGCAGGCCUAACACAUGCAAGUCGAACGGUAGCACAGAGGAGCUUGCUCCUUGGGUGACGAGUGGCGGACGGGUGAGUAAUGUCUGGGAAACUGCCCGAUGGAGGGGGAUAACUACUGGAAACGGUAGCUAAUAACGCAUAAUGUCGCAAGACCAAAGAGGGGGACCUUCGGGCCUCUUGCCAUCGGAUGUGCCCAGAUGGGAUUAGCUAGUAGGUGGGGUAACGGCUCACCUAGGCGACGAUCCCUAGCUGGUCUGAGAGGAUGACCAGCCACACUGGAACUGAGACACGGUCCAGACUCCUACGGGAGGCAGCAGUGGGGAAUAUUGCACAAUGGGCGCAAGCCUGAUGCAGCCAUGCCGCGUGUAUGAAGAAGGCCUUCGGGUUGUAAAGUACUUUCAGCGAGGAGGAAGGCGUUGUGGUUAAUAACCGCAGCGAUUGACGUUACUCGCAGAAGAAGCACCGGCUAACUCCGUGCCAGCCGCCGCAGUAAAAC
rnacentral:rRNA from 1 species